rnacentral:rRNA from 1 species
AUUGAACGCUGGCGGCAUGCCUUACACAUGCAAGUCGAACGGUAACAGGUCUUCGGAUGCUGACGAGUGGCGAACGGGUGAGUAAUACAUCGGAACGUGCCCGAGAGUGGGGGAUAACGAAGCGAAAGCUUUGCUAAUACCGCAUACGAUCUCAGGAUGAAAGCAGGGGACCGCAAGGCCUUGCGCUCACGGAGCGGCCGAUGGCAGAUUAGGUAGUUGGUGGGAUAAAAGCUUACCAAGCCGACGAUCUGUAGCUGGUCUGAGAGGACGACCAGCCACACUGGGACUGAGACCCGGCCCAGACUCCUACGGGGGGCAGCAGUGGGGAAUUUUGGACAAUGGGCGCAAGCCUGAUCCAGCCAUGCCGCGUGCAGGAUGAAGGCCUUCGGGUUGUAAACUGCUUUUGUACGGAACGAAAAGACUCUGGUUAAUACCUGGGGUCCAUGACGGUACCGUAAGAAUAAGCACCGGCUAACUACGUGCCAGCCGCCGCCGUAACAC